CUACGUGCCAGCAGCCGCGGUAAUACGGAGGAUGCGAGCGUUAUCCGGAUUUAUUGGGUUUAAAGGGUGCGUAGGCGGCCUGUUAAGUCAGCGGUGAAAUCUAGGAGCUUAACUCCUAAAUUGCCAUUGAUACUGGCGGGCUUGAGUGUAGAUGAGGUAGGCGGAAUGCGUGGUGUAGCGGUGGAAUGCAUAGAUAUCACGAAGAACUCCGAUCGCGAAGGCAGGUGUCCGGGCUGCAACUGACGCUGAGGCUCGAAAGUGUGGGUAUCAAACAGGAUUAGAUACCCUGGUAGUCCACACAGUAAACGAUGAUUACUAGGUGUUGGGGGUCGAACCUCAGCGCCCAAGCUAACGCGAUAAGUAAUCCGCCUGGGGAGUACGUACGCAAGUAUGAAACUCAAAGGAAUUGACGGGGACCCGCACAAGCGGUGGAGCAUGUGGUUUAAUUCGACGCAACGCGAGGAACCUUACCAGCGUUUGACA
rnacentral:rRNA from 1 species